rnacentral:rRNA from 1 species
UACGUAGGUGGCAAGCGUUGUCCGGAUUUACUGGGCGUAAAGAGCGCGCAGGCGGUCGUUCAAGUCGCGUGUGAAAGCCCCCGGCUCAACUGGGGAGGGUCACGCGAUACUGAUCGACUCGAAGGCAGGAGAGGGUAGUGGAAUUCCCGGUGUAGUGGUGAAAUGCGUAGAUAUCGGGAGGAACACCAGUGGCGAAGGCGGCACUCUGGGUCGGCCCUGACGCUGAGGCGCGAAAGCGUGGGGAGCGAACGGG